UACAGAGGGCUCAAGCGUUAAUCGGAAUCACUGGGCUUAAAGGGUCCGCAGGCGGAUUGGCAAGUACCUUGUGAAAUACCACGGCUCAACCGUGGAACUGCUGGGUAAACUGCCAAUCUUGAACACGACAGGGGCUACCAGAACUCUAGGUGGAGCGGUGAAAUGCGUAGAUAUCUAGAGGAAUGCCAGAGGCGAAGGCG
rnacentral:rRNA from 1 species